rnacentral:rRNA from 1 species
UGGGGAAUAUUGCACAAUGGGCGCAAGCCUGAUGCAGCGACGCCGCGUGAGGGAUGACGGCCUUCGGGUUGUAAACCUCUUUCAGUAGGGAAGAAGCGAAAGUGACGGUACCUGCAGAAGAAGCACCGGCUAACUACGUGCCAGCAGCCGCGGUAAUACGUAGGGUGCGAGCGUUAUCCGGAAUUAUUGGGCGUAAAGAGCUCGUAGGCGGUUUGUCGCGUCUGUCGUGAAAGUCCGGGGCUUAACCCCGGAUCUGCGGUGGGUACGGGCAGACUAGAGUGCAGUAGGGGAGACUGGAAUUCCUGGUGUAGCGGUGGAAUGCGCAGAUAUCAGGAGGAACACCGAUGGCGAAGGCAGGUCUCUGGACUAAUACUGACACUGAGGUGCGAAAGCGUGGGGAGCAAACA